UUGCGGGGAGCCCCCCGCCGACCCCUAGCAGGAUCGGGGUCGCUGUCAGCGUGCCUGGUGGUUCGGGCGGAUGUGCAACAAAGGGAAAAAGGGGGCGGGGGCGCCAUGGUAUCCUCGGGGGUACCGCUGCCCGGCCGCGGCACCGCGGGCAUGGCACGGCGUCCAGGCUCUGCGAGGAGGGGUCGCCCGCGUGGGCGCCGGGCACCGUGGGCGGGUGGGCGUUGCCCGUCCCUGCAGCACGGGCUGGCACCGGUGGCCCGGGUGCAGAGUCCUCACUUGCCAAGGGAGAACUGGAGAAGUUAAAUCAGUCCACGGAUGAUAUCAACAGACGGGAGACUGAACUUGAGGAUGCUCGUCAGAAGUUCCGCUCUGUUCUGGUUGAAGCAACGGUGAAACUGGACGAACUGGUGAAGAAAAUUGGCAAAGCUGUGGAAGACUCCAAGCCCUACUGGGAGGCACGGAGGGUGGCGAGGCAGG
rnacentral:sRNA from 1 species